AUUGAACGCUGGCGGCAGGCCUAACACAUGCAAGUCGAACGAGUGGCGGACGGGUGAGUAAUGUCUGGGAAACUGCCUGCUGGAGGGGGAUAACUACUGGAAACGGUAGCUAAUACCGCAUACCAUCAGAUGUGCCCAGAUGGGAGUAGCUUGGUGGUGGGGUAACGGCUCACCAAGGCUACGAUCCCUAGCUGGUCUGCGAGGAUGACCAGCCACCCUGGAACUGAGACACGGUCCAGACUCCUACGGGAGGCAGCAGUGGGGAAUAUUGCACCAUGGGCGCAAGUCUGAGGCAGCCAUGCCGCGUGUAUGAAGAAGGCCUUCGGGUUGUAAAGUACUUUCAGCGGGGAAGCGUUACCCGCAGAAGAAGCACCGGCUAACUCCGUGCCAGCAGCCGCGGUAAUAC
rnacentral:rRNA from 1 species